GUGCUCUCUUUGGCAGUACAUACACUGAAAUUGGAAUGAUACAGAGAUGAUUAGCAUGGCCCUGUGCAAGGAUGACACAAAUUCAUGAAGACUUUCAUUAAAAA
ensembl:snRNA U6 U6 spliceosomal RNA